UGUAUUGCACAGUGGCGGUAUCGUAGCCUAUGAGGUUUAGCCGAGUCGCGAUUAUUGCUAGUUGAAAACUUUUAUUCCGUUGAACGCUCAGAUCCCCCCGAAAGAAUAGAAAAAAAAUCUAAUUU
ensembl:snRNA U4 U4 spliceosomal RNA